rnacentral:rRNA from 1 species
GGGUGAGUAACGCGUGAGCAAUCUGUCUCAGACAGGGGGAUAACGCAGCGAAAGCUGCACUAAUACCGCGUAAGACCACAGUGCCGCAUGGCACAGGGGUCAAAGGAGCAAUCCGGUCUGAGGUGAGCUCGCGUCUGAUUAGAUAGUUGGUGAGGUAACGGCCCACCAAGUCAACGAUCAGUAGCCGACCUGAGAGGGUGAUCGGCCACAUUGGGACUGAGACACGGCCCAGACUCCUACGGGAGGCAGCAGUGGGGAAUAUUGGGCAAUGGGGGAAACCCUGACCCAGCAACGCCGCGUGAGUGAAGAAGGUCUUCGGAUUGUAAAUCUCUGUCCUAAGAGAAGAGGGGAAGACGGUAUCUUAGGAGGAAGCCCCGGCUGACUACGUGCCAGCAGCCGCGGUAAUACGUAGGGGGCGAGCGUUGUCCGGAAUGAUUGGGCGUAAAGGGCGUGUAGGCGGCCUGUUAAGUCUGGAGUGAAAGUCCUGUUUUCAAGAUGGGAAUUGCUUUGGAUACUGGCGGGCUUGAGUGCAGGAGAGGUUAUCGGAAUUCCCGGUGUAGCGGUGAAAUGCGUAGAGAUCGGGAGGAACACCAGUGGCGAAGGCGGGUAACUGGACUGCA